ensembl:snoRNA Gm25764 small nucleolar RNA SNORA17
UCUGCCUGCCCCUAUAAGUGUUGCAGGUGUGGCUGCAGUGUCACAUGUGCAUCAGUAGGUGGAAGAGAGGAGAGAGGCUAUUUCUACACCCAGUGUUCUGGUCUAUAAACAUCUAUCUAAAUGAUUAAUAGCCUAAAAGU